GGCUCGUUGGUCAAGAGGUUAAGACGCCGCCCUCUCAAGGCGGAAUCACGAGUUCAAUUCUCGUACGAGCUG
rnacentral:tRNA from 1 species